UGCAACAAGAACAAAUGACAUUUAAUUUUUCGUUGGACCGGCACGCUGGCACUUUAAUUCUCUUUCAGGCUAUCCUUCGCCUCAGACCGCCAACCGCUGCCUACUCGGCUUCGUCUCUUCGGUUGGGCAGCAGUUCGCCUUCGGCAGCUGUGUUCGUUCCCAAAAUCCUACUAUACAUUUUUUUUUUUAGGAUUCUGCGACUUAAUCAAGCUUAACAGACGAACCGAGCGGGCGUUGAAAUAAACAAAUUUUAAUAAACACAAUUUGAAAUAUAUUCAAUUGGAAGUGGCUCUGCAGAUGGUGCUUGCAACCCAGAAGAAUUUGACUGCUAUAAUGGAAAUGUACAGGAUCGUUUUGGCAUGGAGGCGAUUGCCAGCUUGCAUCGUCAACUUGAUGAUGAUGAUAAUGGAAACAUUGAUUUGAGUGAAUCAGAUGAUGUAUGUUAAAUGAUUUUAUGACAAAUCCUCCAUAAUUUUA
rnacentral:sRNA from 1 species